UCUAUGUUGCUGUUCAUGGUAAGUAAGGAAAAUUAUAACGAACACGAUCAAGUACAAUAAGAAAUGUGUACGGUGGUACGGUGGAUGAUCGACUUGCUAUGGUAAAACGGCGUGUUUGCCACGACCCUCAUCUUAGUUCUUUGAAAUAGAAAUCUCUCUUCCUAAUCGCUCCUUCAUACCUGAGAAUCUAUGUUGCGCUCCUUAAUACAUCUCGGUUUGAUCACAAAUGAUCUGAACAGAAGAACUAUAUUUAAAAGCCCUCCUAAUUUUGUUACUCCAGCGCACUGCUUUUUUUUCCUCUACCUUGCCGCCCUUUAUUUGGGUAUGUACGUCAGCACUCAGCAUCCAAAGUACUGGAACAGAGUAUGCGUCAUAAGUAUAUACCAUUCUCUAACAGCUUAACAAAAAGAGAUAUGUCUGUAUAUGUAGAACAAUUAGAUUGUACAUACUGACGGAUAAUUUUGAACGCGAACUGUGUUUAGAAAAGUAUUCCAGGGUUGCAUAUACUUUUAGAGCGUUGUUUCAUACGCUACGAUUGAUGCUGACUGUACCUACCCAAAUAUUUUCUUCUUCUUCCUGGCUGUAUAUGUCCCAUAUCUUAUGGGAUUAGCCCUCCUUGUACUUUUACGCCACACUGUACGUUUUUGUGUUGUAUCCGUAUCUACCCACACCAAUCUCAGGUCCUUUUUAAUGGCCUGACCAAGUCGCGGGAGGUCGGCCUGAAACACUAUCCCUCUUAGAUAGUCAUUACACUUCUCAUCAUGUAUUCUUCGCUCCUUCUCAUGACAUGCCCAUACCAUCUCACCUACCCAAAUAUAUUUUUAGUAUAAAAACUACUCCAAAUGUAUGGUUUUACAGGUAUCAUUGAACUGACAACUGGAAGACAACUCUACAUAUACCAGGGCUACGCUUUCAAGAAGAUGAACUUUUUGACUAAAAUCAAGGUUACAAAAUGGAUCUGCACUAGAAACAGAUUAAUCGAGCUAGUAAAUGGAAAGGUUAUAUACUUGUACUGCAACUACGGGUUCUACAAAAAAAGCGAUUUAAGCACAGGCGGCACUCGUUGGACAUGUACUUGCAGUAAGAAAUGCGGUUCAUACUUGCACCUUGAUAAGCAUUAUAACGUCACGUUCGUCAAAGGUGACCACAACCACCCGCCGUCGCAGUACCAUAUGACGAAAAAUGGAAAAUAUCUAAAAAUAUGAUAAUUCUAUAUCUAUUCUUAUAUUUUAAAAUGUGAAGUAUCUCAAAUUCGAUGUUAGACGCAGUGCAUUUGUGUAUCUCGACCAUUCCCAAACUAUGGGUCGCGAGCGAAAUGUUUGUGGGCUCUGAAACUUAAGACGACACGACAUGACCACAACAAAAUGCAGUUAACAAAAUUUUGGCUCUCAGUCGCUGGCAACUAUCCUUGCCUGUUUGAUGAAGCUAUAAAAGUACUACUUUCCUUCAGUACAUCAUAUCUAUGUAAGGCCGGAUUUUCCGCAGUGAUUAUGUUAUGUGGGUCCCGAAUUUGGCAGUUUUUGUUAGUUGGGUCAGACCCCAGUCAACUUUGGGAACCACUGGUAUAUCUUAUUUAUAAUGAAUGUAUGAAGGACAUGAAUGUGAUGUCAGGCAUCUGUUAAAAAUGGAUGAAUAUUUAAAAUUAUACACUUUAUUUUAA